AGCGAACGUAUCACUUAAAGCGAUUCAGCGGGUUACGAUUGACGGAGCGAAGCGACGUCAAAGCGUAUACAAAGUCGAGUCGGUUUAAGGAUACGUUCGUUGGGUAGGGGAGCGUUCUGUAAGCCUGUGAAGGUGGCCUGUGAGGGUUGCUGGAGGUAUCAGAAGUGCGAAUGCUGACAUAAGUAACGAUAAAGCGGGUGAAAAGCCCGCUCGCCGGAAGACCAAGGGUUCCUGUCCAACGUUAAUCGGGGCAGGGUGAGUCGACCCCUAAGGCGAGGCCGAAAGGCGUAGUCGAUGGGAAACAGGUUAAUAUUCC
rnacentral:rRNA from 1 species